rnacentral:rRNA from 1 species
UACGUGGGGGGCAAGCGUUGUCCGGAUUUAUUGGGCGUAAAGAGCGUGUAGGCGGCCAUACAGGUCAGCUGUGAAAACUCGAGGCUCAACCUCGAGACGUCGGUUGAAACCGUAUGGCUAGAGUCCGGAAGAGGAGAGUGGAAUUCCCGGUGUAGCGGUGAAAUGCGCAGAUAUCGGGAAGAACACCUAUGGCGAAGGCAGCUCUCUGGGACGGUACUGACGCUGAGACGCGAAAGCGUGGGGAGCAAACAGG